rnacentral:misc_RNA from 1 species
GAAACGCGAUAGUUAAUGUGAAUUGCAGAAUUCAGUGAAUCAUCGAGUCUUUGAACGCACAUUGCGCCCAUAGGUAUUCCUUUGGGCAUGUCUGUUUGAGCGUCAUUACAACCCUCAGCUAACCGCUGGUUUUGAACCUGAACGGGUGACACCGCGCCGGUUUUAAAGUUGUAAGCUCUUCUUGCCGCUCUGCCCAACCAGAACAUAGUAAGCACUACUUGUCCGGGUGAAGCUGAACGGUACGGCCUGAACAAAACCUACCCACUCUCAAGGUUUGACCUCAGAUCAGACAAGGAUACCCGCUGAACUUAAGC